AAAAAAAAAAAAAAAACCAAAACAACGUCGUAUUCCCUGGGCGGGAAAAUGGCAGCCUCUGAUUGGCUAGAUUCCGGCUCCUUUAAUAUAUUUAUAGAUGUGGCGUGUGAAUUUAGAUCUGCUGUUGGUAUGGGUUGCUCUCCAGGUACAGUAUAUAUCUAUUAUUUAAUAUGUUACAUGCGUAUUGAUUCUCAAUUUACAAAUACAAAAGUCAGUCCAACAGAUUACAACAUUAAAAGCUUUGCAAAGUCUUGUGAUCAAUUUCUCCAAAAAGAACCAAACUAGGUUUUGUUUGCUUCUUGCUGUUUCAACAUGAGUGGCCAAUUUAUAGUUGGUGUGCAGCUUCAUCCCAAGCAAACAAAUAAGGCAAUCAGGUUGCGAUGUGUUCGUAAUUAUGUAGUAUUUGAAAUCAAGAGAGAAAAAGUGAUUAGAAGUCAAGAGUGUAUAUUCAUGAUCAACAAGUUGGUUAUUGUGAUUUUAACAUGCUAUUAGUGUUUAUGUUUUAUUCAUUGUAUGUAAUGUAUUCAUGUUUUCCUUUUUGGUUUUCAAUCUAGGGUAUGUCUAUCCAUGUACAUAUACCUAAGGAUCUUGUGGGGAAAUACAACAUAUUCACGGAGGGAAAAAGUAUAUGGUAUUAGAAAUUUCCUAUGUAUCACUAACUUUUUCAAAUACAAAACAAGCAUGCUUCGUUACAUGAUCAAAUUCAAGCAUGACACGCUCGUGAAGGAGUAUAAGCGUGUUAAUUUUCCUAAAACCAUGUUUCGCUCCAAGAGUUUUGAAGACAUACUUCCAAAAAAAGAUAUUGAUGAGAAAGUGUUGAUAGGUAAUGUUUAUCCCAAAUUGAACCUAAACAGCAGUAUAACAUGCUUAUAAAUUCUAUGGGAUGGAAUAUUGUCAAUUACAUUCUUUAAUUUAUUUGGUUUUUAAAAAUAGAUGUUAUUGGGCGUGUGGUUGAGAUUUAUUCUCCUGUUGAGAAGAUCAUAGUUGGUAAAAUGACUAGGCUAAUUGAUUUUGUUCUUGAAGACACUAGGUGUAUAUUUUUAUUCAAUUUCGGUUAGUGGUUAAUGUGUUAAACUGCUCUAUAGGCAAAGACAGGUUAAGUGUACACUGUGGGAUGAUCAUGUUGAUGAACUAAGCCCCUAUUUCAACUCUGUUGGUGCUGAUCCUCUUAUACCACUGAUUCAGUUGUGUAGAGCUAAGUUCAUGGACAAUGGUGAAGUGCGCAUCUGCAGUUCUUUCGAUGCUACUCAGCUGUUUUUCAACCAUUCUUGCAAGGAGUUUCGUGAGCUAAGAAACAGCUAUAACAGCAAGCUUACACCAUUAAGAUGUAUACAAUCUGGAACUAGACUCUCUGCUGCUAAUCUGGACCUUACUCAGGGCAGUACUGAUGUGUUGAUUACUCCGAUUGAAGAAAUUUACUCCAAAAAAUAGCUGGGGGAGUAUUGGGUGGCAGGUCGUAUUGUUGAUGUAGAGAGUGUGUGGUUGAUUUGUAUUACAUCUCUUGCAAGAUGAAAGCUUAGUGAGAAGGGUGGAAUGAUGGUUUGUGGUGGCUGUAAAAGUUCUUGGCAUGAAGGAGUUGUUAGAUAUAAGGUCAUAGUCCGUGUUGCGGAUGAGAGUAGAGAUGCUUAGAUGCUUAUAUGGGAUCGUGACUGUGCAGAUGAUUUGGUUGGUGUGUCUGCCUCUGACUGAUUUAUUGGCUAAAUACCCUGAGGUGUCAGUGUAUUUAUUUUGUUGUUUUGAUUAAAUUUUAAUGUACUUAUUGAUGUUUUGUUUGUUUUUUUCCUGUUUGUAAGGUCACUGGUUUGGAUGAUUUUGAAGAGGGGUUUGGUGUUGAUGGUGCUGUUGUGCCUCUUAAGAGAUGCCUAUUCAAAGAGUUUGAUCGUUGUGGUAGUUCUAAGAAACUUAAGGAUAUGGUUGUGAAGCAGGAAAAGUAGUCGGUUAAUGGUUAUGUAGUUGGUCUAAUCUAUUCUUAGUGUUAUGCGUAUGCUUUUUUGUCAUGGCUUUUUUGGAGGCUUAGUGUUUCUAAGUCUGAUUUGGUAGCAGUGUACUGUUAGUAAGUAGAAUGUGUUUUUUUUUGUGUGGCUUUUGGGGCAUGGUGUUAUGCAGUGCCAUUCUAUUGUAAUAGGUGCUGAAAUGCUAAUUUAUGUAAUGAUGUUUUGGUAACUACAGUUUCAGCUACCUAAGUAAGGUUAUAGACCAUUUACAUAUAUGUCACCGG